GACGAACGCUGGCGGCGUGCUUAACACAUGCAAGUCGAACGGAAAGGCCUCUUUCGGGGGGUACUCGAGUGGCGAACGGGUGAGUAACACGUGAGUAACCUGCCCUUGACUUUGGGAUAACUUCAGGAAACGGGGGCUAAUACCGGAUAGGAGCUCCUGCUGCAUGGUGGGGGUUGGAAAGUUUCGGCGGUUGGGGAUGGACUCGCGGCUUAUCAGCUUGUUGGGGGGGUAGUGGCUUACCAAGGCUUUGACGGGUAGCCGGCCUGAGAGGGUGACCGGCCACAUUGGGACUGAGAGACGGCCCAGACUCCUACGGGAGGCAGCAGUGGGGAAUAUUGCACAAUGGGUGGAAGCCGGAUGCAGCAACGCCGUGUGCGGGAUGACGGCCUUCGGGUUGUAAACCGCUUUCGCUCAUGACGAAGCUUUGUGUGACGGUAGUGGGUAAAGAAGCACCGGCUAACUACGUG
rnacentral:rRNA from 1 species